rnacentral:lncRNA from 1 species
GAAAAACUCAUCUUUUGAGGAGAAAUUCAAGCUGCAGAAAUUUGCAUAAGUAGCUAGGAGCCUAAUGUUAAUCCCCAAGACCACGGGGAAAAUGUCUCCAGGCCAUGUCAGAGACCUUCAGAGCAGCCCCUCCCAUCACAGGCCCAGAGGCUGAAGAGGAAGAGAAGUGACUUUCACCUCCUGCCAUGCUUCUGAGGGCUCCCCAGCCAUGUGGAACUAUGGUGCCUUAUUCCAAGAUUUCAGUGUACAAUGCUCAAGUUCAGUGAACUUUCCAAGAUUACUAUGCAUUUCCCAAGGAGAAGAGACAUACAAAAAUUACUCUGCCAAUUACAUAUGCUAGUUUCAUUAAUACCUUCAUUUAAUUGACUGGGAUUUAUGAAAGAUCUAGUAAUGAAGCCAUACUGUGCCAUAACUUAUCCCACCUUGCAAGAAGAAAACGGAAGCUCAGAUGGAUUAAAACUAUAUGCUCUCUGGGGCAGGGACGGGGUCUGUUUUGUUCUUCAGUGUAUUUUCAUGGCCCUACACAGUGUAGUGUGGUGGUAAUAGAGCACAGCCAUUUGGAGCUCAGUGUCUGGAGUCAGACAGACCUGGCUUGGGGCAGAAGCCUCAGGUGAGGAAACAGGUUAGGCUUUAAAAAUAAAGACUUAAAGGUGAACAUGUAUUACAGGUAAUAUCUCAGUUUCCUCACCUCUUAAAAUGAUAUGAAUAUCUAAUAAAGUGUUGGAUAAUGAAAUAAUACAUGUAAUGUGAUCAAAUAGUGUCUGUUACAUAGCUAACAUUUAUUAAUAAAAUUCUCAUCAUUAUCCUUAUCUGGCACUUGGCAUCAUUAUAAAAUGAAUGGCUGAA